rnacentral:rRNA from 1 species
UUGGAGGGCAAGUCUGGUGCCAGCAGCCGCGGUAAUUCCAGCCCCAAUAGCGUAUAUUAAAGUUGUUGCAGUUAAAAAGCUCGUAGUUGAAUUUCGGGGUUAGUAGGCUGGUCAUGCCACCGGUAUGUACUGGUCUUACUGAUUCCUCCUUCCUGAUGAACUGUAAUGCCAUUAAUUUGGUGUUGCAGGGAAUCUGGACUGUUACUUUGAAAAAAUUAGAGUGUUUAAAGCAGGCUAACGCUUGAAUACAUUAGCAUGGAAUAAUGAAAUAGGACGUUCGAUCCUAUUUUGUUGGUUUCUAGGAUUGACGUAAUGAUUAAUAGGGAUAGUUGGGGGCAUUAGUAUUCAAUUGUCAGAGGUGAAAUUCUUGGAUUUAUUGAAGACUAACUACUGCGAAAGCAUUUGCCAAGGAUGUUUUCAUUAAUCAAGAACGAAAGUUAGGGGAUCGAAGACGAUCAGAUACCGUCGUAGUCUUAACCAUAAACUGUGCCGACUAGGGAUCGGAUGAUGUUAAUUUUUUAAUGACUCAUUCGGCGCCUUACGGGAAAC